CCUACGGGGGGCAGCAGUGAGGAAUAUUGGUCAAUGGGCGAGAGCCUGAACCAGCCAAGUCGCGUGAAGGAUGACGGCCCUACGGGUUGUAAACUUCUUUUGUCAGGGAGCAAUUGGGUCCACGCGUGGGCUUAGCGAGAGUACCUGAAGAAAAAGCAUCGGCUAACUCCGUGCCAGCAGCCGCGGUAAUACGGAGGAUGCGAGCGUUACUCGGAAUCACUGGGCGUAAAGAGUGCGCAGGCGGGCUUGUAAGUCAGAUGUGAAAUCCUGUAGCUUAACUACAGAACUGCAUUUGAAACUAUGAGUCUAGAGUGUGGGAGAGGUAGGUGGAAUUCUUGGUGUAGGGGUAAAAUCCGUAGAUAUCAAGAGGAAUACUCAUUGCGAAGGCGACCUACUGGAACAUUACUGACGCUCAUGCACGAAAGCGUGGGGAGCAAACAGGAUUAGAUACCCUAGUAGUC
rnacentral:rRNA from 1 species